UACGUAGGGUGCGAGCGUUGUCCGGAAUUAUUGGGCGUAAAGAGCUCGUAGGCGGUCUGUCGCGUCUGCUGUGAAAUCCCGAGGCUCAACCUCGGGCCUGCAGUGGGUACGGGCAGACUAGAGUGCGGUAGGGGAGAUUGGAAUUCCUGGUGUAGCGGUGGAAUGCGCAGAUAUCAGGAGGAACACCGAUGGCGAAGGCAGGUCUCUGGGCCACUACUGACGCUGAGAAGCGAAAGCAUGGGGAGCGAACAGG
rnacentral:rRNA from 1 species